CACGUAGGGGGCAAGCGUUGUCCGGAUUUAUUGGGCGUAAAGAGCUCGUAGGUGGUUCGGUAAGUCAGGUGUGAAACCUCCAGGCUCAACCUGGAGACGCCACUUGAUACUGCUGUGACUGGAGUCCGGUAGGGGAGCGUGGAAUUCCUGGUGUAGCGGUGAAAUGCGCAGAUAUCAGGAGGAACACCAGCGGCGAAGGCGGUUCUCUGGGCCUUACCUGACGCUGAGGAGCGAAAGCGUGGGGAGCGAACAGG
rnacentral:rRNA from 1 species